AGCCUGCCAACUAUGGACUGCGACUUCUACAGACUAGUAUCUCUGAGAAUCUUCCACAGAAGCCUGUUGAUCAUUUAUCUGGAGUUGCAGAU